GAAACUUCAUAGCUUGGGACCGGAAGGCUCGAAGGGUACGUUCGGGGUAGGAGUGAAAUCCCAUAAUCCCGCACGGACCACNGAUGGCGAAAGCACUUCGAGAAAACGGAUCCGACAGUGAGGGACGAAAGCCAGGGUCUCCAACCGGAUUAGAUACCCGGGUAGUCCUAGCCGUAAACAAUGUUCGCUAGGUAUGACACAGACUACGCGUCUCUGUUGUGCCGUAGGGAAGCCGAGAAGCGAACCGCCUGGGAAGUACGUCUGCAAGGAUGAAACUUAAAGGAAUUGGCGGGGGAGCACUACAACCGGAGGAGCCUGCGGUUUAAUUGGAUUCAACGCCGGG
rnacentral:rRNA from 1 species